rnacentral:rRNA from 1 species
GUUUGAUCCCUGGCUCAGGAUGAACGCUGGCGGCGUGCCUAAUACAUGCAAGUCGAGCGAACAGAUAAGGAGCUUGCUCCUUUGACGUUAGCGGCGGACGGGUGAGUAACACGUGGGUAACCUACCUAUAAGACUGAACUCCGGGAAACCGGGGCUAAUGCCGGAUAACAUGUUGAACCGCAUGGUUCUACAGUGAAAGACGGUCUUGCUGUCACUUAUAGAUGGACCCGCGCCGUAUUAGCUAGUUGGUGGGGUAACGGCCUACCAAGGCGUACGUAGCCGACCUGAGAGGGUGAUCGGCCACACUGGAACUGAGACACGGUCCAGACUCCUACGGGAGGCAGCAGUAGGGAAUCUUCCGCAAUGGGCGAAAGCCUGACGGAGCAACGCCGCGUGAGUGAUGAAGGUGGAUCGUAAAGCUCUGUUGUUAGGGAAGAACAAAUGUGUAAGUAACUGUGCACAUCUUGACGGUACCUAACCAGAAAGCCACGGCUAACUACGUGCCAGCAGCCGCGGUAAUACGUAGGUGGCAAGCGUUAUCCGGAUUGGGCGUAAAGCGCGCGUAGGCGGUUUUUUAAGUCUGAUGUGAAAGCCCACGGCUCAACCGUGGAGGGUCAUUGGAAACUGGAAAACUUGAGUGCAGAAGAGGAAAGUGGAAUUCCAUGUGUAGCGGUGAAAUGCAGAGAUAUGGAGGAACACCAGUGGCGAAGGCGGCUUUCUGGUCUGCAACUGACGCUGAUGUGCGAAAGGGGAUCAAACAGGAUUAGAUACCCUGGUAGUCCACGCCGUAAACGAUGAGUGCUAAGUGUUAGGGGGUUUCCGCCCCUUAGUGCUGCAGCUAACGCAUUAAGCACUCCGCCUGGGGAGUACGGUCGCAAGACUGACAAAGGAAUUGACGGGGACCCGCACAAGCGGUGGAGCAUGUGGUUUAAUUCGAAGCAACGCGAAGAACCUUACCAAAUCUUGACAUCCUUUGACCGCUCUAGAGAUAGAGUUUUCCUCUUCGGAGGACAAAGUGAC